UGAUCUCCAGAUUCAAAGAGGAAGAGCCUGCCUGUAUCAGUGCCAACGACAAUCUUGUCAUCAGACACCCAGGGUGGAAAUACACUGGAUAAAUGAUGUGAGUGCUCUGGUCUUGAGGUGCUGGUUUAUGCACUAGCCUCCUGUGGGAAUGACUGAGUCCACUGAAUGGAGCCGAGUUCCUGACAACCUGUAAAACCGAGUUCUAGAUCCUACACUGGGUUGACUGCACCAGGAUAAAACUCUUUGGGACCUACUGCCUUAGCAGUGAACCAGCUUCCUAACAGCCAUGAUGCUGAAAAGAGGCCAGAACCAGAAAGAGAGAGCGAGUUGGAUCACUUCACCUCUGGGCUGAAUCUGUGACCAGAAAGCAGUUCUAGGCCAGAGUAAAGAAGACAGGCAGUGGGCUCCUGGCCCUGCCAUUCAAUACCUCUGUGAUCUUAGCCAGUAGACAAGGUUGGACUCUGGAGGCGAUGUUUGAGUCAAUAGGUAUUUGGAGUCUGGAGAAAAAGCCAUGCAAGUAAAUCUCUGAA